GGGCGAAAGCCUGAUCCAGCCAUGCCGCGUGUGUGAAGAAGGUCUUCGGAUUGUAAAGCACUUUAAGUUGCGAGGAAGGGCAGUAAGUUAAUACCUUGCUGUUUUGACGUUACCAACAGAAUAAGCACCGGCUAACUUCGUGCCAGCAGCCGCGGUAAU
rnacentral:rRNA from 1 species